GAUGAAGAACGUAGCGAAAUGCGAUAAGUAGUGUGAAUUGCAGAAUUCAGUGAAUCAUCGAAUCUUUGAACGCACAUUGCGCCCCUUGGUAUUCCAUGGGGCAUGCCUGUUCGAGCGUCAUUUGUACCUUCAAGCUUUGCUUGGUGUUGGGUGUUUGUCCCGAGGGACUCGCCUUAAAGUAAUUGGCAGCCAGUGUUUGGUUUUGAAGCGCAGCACAAGUCGCGAUUCAAGGCUACACGCCCGCUUCCACAAGCCUUUUUUCACUUUUGACCUCGGAUCAGGUAGGGAUACCCGCUGAACUUAAGCAUAUCAAUACGGAGGA
rnacentral:misc_RNA from 1 species